CCUGCCCCUAGAAGCAUUACAAGUGUGGCUGCUGUGUCACAUGUGCUGCAGCAGAUGGCAGAGAGGAGAGAGGCUAUGGUUAUGCUCCAUGUUCUGACCUGUCAACAUCUAAGUGAUUAGUAGCCUAACACU